AGUGAACGCUGGCGGUAGGCCUAACACAUGCAAGUCGAACGGCAGCACAGUAAGAGCUUGCUCUUACGGGUGGCGAGUGGCGGACGGGUGAGGAAUACAUCGGAAUCUACUUUUUCGUGGGGGAUAACGUAGGGAAACCUACCCUAAUACCGCAUAAGAACUACGGGUGGAAGCCGGGGAACUUCCGACCUUUCCCGAAUUGAUGAGGCGAUGUCGGAUUAGCUAGUUGGCGGGGUAAAGGCCCACCAAGGCGACGAUCCGUAGCUGGUCUGAGAGGAUGAUCAGCCACACUGGAACUGAGACACGGUCCAGACUCCUACGGGAGGCAGCAGUGGGGAAUAUUGGACAAUGGGCGCAAGCCUGAUCCAGCCAUACCGCGUGGGUGAAGAAGGCCUUCGGGUUGUAAAGCCCUUUUGUUGGGAAAGAAAAGCAGCAGGUUAAUACCCCGCUGUUCUGACGGUACCCAAAGAAUAAGCACCGGCUAACUUCGUG
rnacentral:rRNA from 1 species